AUACUAUGAUAGUUGCACAGUUCAGCAGAUUGACUGCUGAAGAGAUAUGCCAUUUGUCUGAUGUGAGU